rnacentral:rRNA from 1 species
CCUGGCGGCUGUAGCGCGGUGGUCCCACCUGACCCCAUGCCGAACUCAGAAGUGAAACGCCGUAGCGCCGAUGGUAGUGUGGGGUCUCCCCAUGGGAGAGUAGGGAACUGCCAGCC